GAGACACCCCUAUGGAGCAGAACUUGCCUCAGUGGGGCUUCAGUGCUCACUGAGUUUGCCCCUUGAGUAUGUUGCU
rnacentral:pre_miRNA from 1 species